rnacentral:rRNA from 1 species
CGGGAUGCAGCAGUAAGGAAUAUUGGUCAAUGGACGCAAGUCUGAACCAGCUAUGCCGCGUGAAGGAUUAAGGUCCUCUGGAUUGUAAACUUCUUUUAUCUGGGACGAAAAAAGGCAUUUCUAGGCUUCUUGACGGUACCAGAUGAAUAAGCACCGGCUAACUCCGUGCCAGCAGCCGCGGUAAUACGGAGGGUGCAAGCGUUAUCCGGAUUCACUGGGUUUAAAGGGUGCGUAGGCGGGCAGGUAAGUCAGUGGUGAAAUCCUGGAGCUCAACUCCAGAACUGCCAUUGAUACUAUCUGUCUUGAAUAUUGUGGAGGUAAGCGGAAUAUGUCAUGUAGCGGUGAAAUGCUUAGAUAUGACAUAGAACACCCAUUGCGAAGGCAGCUUACUACGCAUAUAUUGACGCUGAGGCACGAAAGCGUGGGGAUCAAACAGGAUUAGAUACCCCCGU